AAAUUGAAGAGUUUGAUCAUGGCUCAGAUUGAACGCUGGCGGCAGGCCUAACACAUGCAAGUCGAACGGUAACAGGAAUCAGCUUGCUGAUUUGCUGACGAGUGGCGGACGGGUGAGUAAUGUCUGGGAAACUGCCCGAUGGAGGGGGAUAACUACUGGAAACGGUAGCUAAUACCGCAUAACGUCGCAAGACCAAAGAGGGGGACCUUCGGGCCUCUUGCCAUCGGAUGUGCCCAGAUGGGAUUAGCUAGUAGGUGGGGUAA
rnacentral:rRNA from 1 species